GAUGAAGAACGUAGCGAAAUGCGAUACGUAGUGUGAAUUGCAGAAUUCAGUGAAUCAUCGAAUCUUUGAACGCACAUUGCACCUCUCGGUAUUCCGGGAGGUAUGCCUGUUCGCGCGUCAUUUGUACCCUCAAGCUCUGCUUGGUGUUGGGUGUUUGUUCCGCCUCUGUGUGUGAACUCGCCUCAAAACAAUUGGCAGCCGGCGUACUUGUUUCGGAGCGCAGCACAUUUUGCGAUCCAGAUCAACGUACAGCGGCAUCCAAGAAGCCUUAUUUAACGCUCUUGACCUCGGAUCAGGUAGGGAUACCCGCUGAACUUAAGCAUAUCAAUAAGCGGAGGA
rnacentral:misc_RNA from 1 species